rnacentral:rRNA from 1 species
CCUGUCCUAUAAUCGAUAAUCCACGAUUUUAGUUACUUAUAUUAUUAAUUUACAUAUCGCUGUAGAUUGAAUAUUUUUGUAGAAUUUAAUAUUCAAGAUUUUUAAUAAAAAGAAAUCAGGUCAAGGUGUAGUUUAUAUAUAAGAAGAGAUGGGUUACAAUAAGUUUACUUAAACAGUUAAAUUUUUGUAAUAAAAUUUAUAAGGUGGAUUUGAUAGUAAUUUAAAGUAAAUUCUUUAAAUGAUUUUAGCUCUAAAAUAUGCACAUAUCGCCCGUCGCUUUCAUUUUUAAAAUGAAAUAAGUCGUAACAUAGUAGAUGUACUGGAAAGUGUUUCUAGAAAGGUCAAAUUAAAGCUUUAAGAAGCAUUUUAGUUACAUUAAAAAGAAUACUAUAGUUAGUAUAAUUUGAAAAAAAUAAAUUAUUUAAAUUAUUAUUUUAUAUUUUUAUUAAAAAAAGAAAUUUAAUUGUUUUAUUAAUUAGUAUGAAUAAAUAAAUUUAAUUAUAGUAAAUUAGUAUUGUGAAAGAAAUUUUUUUAUUGUAUAAAAGAAAAAUUAAUUUUUUGUACCUUGUGUAUCAGGGUUUAUUAAAUAAAAUUUAUUAAAUUAAAUUUCUCGAAUUUAAAAGAGUUAUUUUUAUAUAGUUUUUAUUGUAGAAUAAAUAUUAUAAAUAUAGAAAUUGAAGUGAAAUGCUAUUCGAUUUUAAAUAUAUCUAGUUUCUUUAGAAAAAAAUUUAAUUUUAUUUUUUUUAUAUUAUUAAAUUUCAUUAAAAAUUUAAUAAUUAAAAUAAAUAAUAUUUUAAGGGAUGAGCUUUAAAAUAAAUAAAUAAAAUUUAAAUAAAAAUUUUUAAUAAGUAGAAUUAUAAGUUUUAAUCUUUAAUAGUGUGUUAUAACUAAUUAAUAUUUAAUUAAAAUUUAUAUUUAAAUUUAUAUUUUAUAUAAAGAUAUAAAUUAAAAUAAAUAAAAUUUAGAAAUAAUGAUAAAAUUAGUAUAAAUUUAUGUAUAAAUUUAUUAGUAAAUUUAGGUUAAAUAAAGGAAUUCGGCAAAGAUAUUUUUCACCUGUUUAUUAAAAACAUGUCCUUUAGAUUAUAAUUUAAGGUCUAGCCUGCCCAAUGAUGAAUUAAAUGGCCGCGGUAUCUUGACCGUGCAAAGGUAGCAUAAUCAUUAGUUUUUUAAUUGAAAGCUUGUAUGAAAGGUUGAAUGAAAAAAUAACUGUCUCUAUUUAAUUUUAUUUGAAUUUUAUUUUUAAGUUAAAAAGCUUAAAUAUUUAUAGAAGACGAGAAGACCCUAUAGAGUUUGAUACUUUAUAAUUAU